rnacentral:rRNA from 1 species
UACGAAGGGGGCUAGCGUUGCUCGGAAUCACUGGGCGUAAAGCGCACGUAGGCGGCUUCUUAAGUCAGGGGUGAAAUCCUGGAGCUCAACUCCAGAACUGCCUUUGAUACUGAGGAGCUUGAGUUCGAGAGAGGUGGGUGGAAUUCCUAGUGUAGAGGUGAAAUUCGUAGAUAUUAGGAAGAACACCGGUGGCGAAGGCGGCCCACUGGCUCGAUACUGACGCUGAGGUGCGAAAGCGUGGGGAGCAAACAGG